ACUGCUCAGUAACACGUGGACAACCUACCCUGAGGUCGGGGAUAAACCCGGGAAACUGGGUAUAAUACCCGAUAGAUCUAGAUCGCUGGAAUGCUUUUAGGUCUAAAGUUCCGACGCCUCAGGAUGGGUCUGCGGCCUAUCAGGGUAGUAGUGGGUGUAAAGUACCUACUAGCCUACGACGGGUACGGGUUGUGAGAGCAAGAGCCCGGAGAUGGAUUCUGAGACACGAAUCCAGGCCCUACGGGGUGCAGCAGGCGCGAAACCUUUACAAUGCUGGCAACAGCGAUAAGGGGACCUCGAGUGCUACGAUACAAUCGUGGCUGUCUAGUUGCCUAAAAAGCAAUUGAUAGCAAGGGCCGGGCAAGACCGGUGCCAGCCGCCGCGGUAACACCGGCGGCUCGAGUGGUAACCGCUAUUAUUGGGUCUAAAGGGUCUGUAGCCGGCUUAGUUAGUCUCUUGAGAAAUCUGGCCGCUCAACGGUCAGGCGUUCAGGGGAUACUGCUAAAGCUCGAGACCGGGAGAGGUGAGAGGUACUUCAGGGGUAGGGGUGAAAUCUUGUAAUCCUUGAAGGACCACCAGUGGCGAAGGCGUCUCACCAGAACGGAUCUGACGGCAAGGGACGAAAGCUAGGGGCACGAACCGGAUUAGAUACCCGGGUAGUCCUAGCCGUAAACGAUACUCGCUAGGUGUCGGCCACGGUGCGACCGUGGUCGGUGCCGUAGGGAAGCCGUGAAGCGAGCCACCUGGGAAGUACGGCCGCAAGGCUGAAACUUAAAGGAAUUGGCGGGGGAGCAC
rnacentral:rRNA from 1 species